rnacentral:rRNA from 1 species
UGGUGGAGUGAUUUGUCUGGUUAAUUCCGUUAACGAACGAGACCUCAGCCUGCUAACUAGUGGCUUGAACUUCGGUUCUAGUCGCUUCUUAGAGGGACUGAUGGUGAUUAGCCAUCGGAAGUUUGAGGCAAUAACA